AGGUUACAGAAAAUAGACGACUAGAAAGACUAGAGAAAGUCGAGGUCCAAAUCGCUUGACGAGUGAUGUUAGAUUGCCUUUAUCUUUGGUUUUGCCUACAAUAGGACGCCGUCUCUUAUAUAUGAAAAGACAACAACAACGGCGACGCGAGGAUCGACAUUGCGGGCCGACGGCAUCCAUGCAAGUAAGUGAAGCGCGCGGGCACCGCGCGGGUGGUUGGGUUGGUUCGGCCUUGAGUAGAGGCACCUGAACAGCGGGUUCUGUGGCUUGUCGGUGGGCGGGGUGAAUUCUAGUUGGGUUCGCGAGGCCCGUAGGUCAGUAGGAAAGGUGGUUUUAUCUCGGCCUCCCGCAGUUGGCGAAGCUUAAGAUGGGAGUCCGUUUUGCCGGGAGUAGCUCUUGGUUGACAAGUUGUUGCGAGGGGCUUGGUCGGCGCCCUUUGUCUUGAGUUCGCCUGAUUUACCCUGGUAUCCUCGCGAGUCGCCAGAUAGCCCGGUGCAGGAUACUUACCAACAUAACAGCUACCCUACGUGCGAAGGCGUAAGGAACAACGAGCAAAACAGGCAUACAGGAUGGCGUCAAGAAAUCUGCAAGCAAACGAAAGUUGAAGUCAAGACGCGCGGACGGACCCGGAGUCUUCGGACGUGUGGACGGGCUACAGCUACAUCAGAAAGCCGCCGCGGCGGUCCGCUAAGUGCGGCACAAAUGCAUGACACGCGGCUGCGGAAGGCAGUGCGCUUAGGAAGCCCACCGCGGCGGCACGCCGAAUUGAAGGUGUUGAUUUAGGAGCAUAUAGGCAGCGGCCGUGGAAGGCGGUGCGCUUGUAGAAAAGCCGCUACGGCGGUCCGCUAAGUGCGGCACAUAUGCAUGACACGCGGCUGCGGAAGGCAGUGCGCUUAGGAAGCCUGCCGUGGCGGCACGCCGAAUUGAAGGCGUUGAUUUAGGAACAUAUAGACAGCGGUCACAGAAGGCGGUGCGCUUGUAGAAAAGCCGCUGCGGCGGUCCGCUAAGUGUGGCACAAAUGCAUGACACGCGGCUGCGGAAGGCAGUGCGCUUAGGAAGCCCACCGCGGCGGCACGCCGAAUUGAAGGUGUUGAUUUAGGAGCAUAUAGGCAGCGGCCGUGGAAGGCGGUGCGCUUGUAGAAAAGCCGCUACGGUGGUCCGCUAAGUGCGGCACAUAUGCAUGACACGCGGCUGCGGAAGGCAGUGCGCUUAGGAAGCCUGCCGUGGCGGCACGCCGAAUUGAAGGCGUUGAUUUAGGAACAUAUAGGCAGCGGCCGUGGAAGGCGGUGCGCUUGUAGAAAAGCCGCUACGGCGGUCCGCUAAGUGCGGCACAUAUGCAUGACACGCGGCUGCGGAAGGCAGUGCGCUUAGGAAGCCUGCCGUGGCGGCACGCCGAAUUGAAGGCGUUGAUUUAGGAACAUAUAGACAGCGGUCGCAGAAGGCGGUGCGCUUGUAGAAAAGCCGCUGCGGCGGUCCGCUAAGUGCGGCACAAAUGCAUGACACGCGGCUGCGGAAGGCAGUGCGCUUAGGAAGCCCACCGCGGCGGCACGCCGAAUUGAAGGUGUUGAUUUAGGAGCAUAUAGGCAGCGGCCGUGGAAGGCGGUGCGCUUGUAGAAAAGCCGCUACGGCGGUCCGCUAAGUGCGGCACAUAUGCAUGACACGCGGCUGCGGAAGGCAGUGCGCUUAGGAAGCCUGCCGUGGCGGCACGCCGAAUUGAAGGUGUUGAUUUAGGAACAUAUAGACAGCGGUCGCAGAAGGCGGUGCGCUUGUAGAAAAGCCGCUGCGGCGGUCCGCUAAGUGCGGCACAAAUGCAUGACACGCGGCUGCGGAAGGCAGUGCGCUUAGGAAGCCCACCGCGGCGGCACGCUGAAUUGAAGGUGUUGAUUUAGGAGCAUAUAGGCAGCGGCCGUGGAAGGCGGUGCGCUUGUAGAAAAGCCGCUACGGUGGUCCGCUAAGUGCGGCACAUAUGCAUGACACGCGGCUGCGGAAGGCAGUGCGCUUAGGAAGCCUGCCGUGGCGGCACGCCGAAUUGAAGGUGUUGAUUUAGGAACAUAUAGACAGCGGUCGCAGAAGGCGGUGCGCUUGUAGAAAAGCCACUGCGGCGGUCCGCUAAGUGCAGCACAAAUGCAUGAUACGCGGCUGCGGAAGGCAGUGCGCUUAGGAAGCCCGCCGUGGCGGCACGCUGAAUUGAAGGCGUUGAUUUAGGAGCAUUUGGACAGCAGCCGCAGAAGGCGGUGCGCUUGUAGAAAAGCCGCUGUGGUGGUCUGCUAAGUGCGGCAUGAAGGACGCUAUGAAGUGGGAGACGGAACACCUGGCAAGGAUGCUGAAAUGUAUAUGGUCUCACCGCAACUCUAUUGUUCCCUUUGGCCGUAAGUAUACUUCAUCGCUUGUCUCGUUGGAAGUGCGAGGUAGGAUGGUGCUUAUAGGCGAUUUGGCAGCCCUUGAGCCCUCGGCUCGUACUAGAGUGGUUUGCAGGUACGGGGAACGCACCCACGACCAUGUAACAACAGCAAGUGCGGCACAAAAUGCAUGACAAGCGGCCGCGGAAGGCAGUGCGCUUAGGAAGCCCGCCGCGGCGGCACACCGAAUGGAAGGCAUUGGGAUUUACGAAUAUAUCGACAGCGGCCGCGGAAGGCGGUGCACCUGUAGAAAAGCCGCCGCGGCGGUCCGCUAAGGGCGGCACAAAAUGCAUGACACGCGGC
rnacentral:lncRNA from 1 species